GACGAACGCUGGCGGCGUGCCUAAUACAUGCAAGUCGAACGCAGUGGGGACGGGUGAGUAACACGUGGGUAACCUCCCAUCAGAGGGGAUAACACUUGGAAACAGGUGCUAAACCGAUACUGAUGGAUGGACCCGCGGUGCAUUAGCUAGUUGGUGAGGUAACGGCUCACCAAGGCCACGAUGCAUAGCCGACCUGGGAGGGGGUUCGGCCACAUGGGAACUAGGAAACGGCCCAGACUCCUAGGGAAGGCAGAGGUGGGAAAUCUUGGAAAAUGGACGAAGUCUGACCGAGCAACGCCGCGUGAGUGAAGAAGGUUUUCGGAUCGUAAAACUCUGUUGUUAGAGAAGCGGUAUCUAACCAGAAAGCCACGGCUAACUACGUGCCAGCAGCCGCGGUAAUAC
rnacentral:rRNA from 1 species